rnacentral:rRNA from 1 species
CUACGGGGGGCUGCAGUAGGGAAUUUUCGGCAAUGGGCGAAAGCCUGACCGAGCAAUGCCGCGUGAACGAUGAAGGCCUUCGGGUUGUAAAGUUCUGUUAUCAGGGAAGAACAUACGGAUUAGGAAAUGACUCCGUACUGACGGUACCUGAUCAGAAAGCUCCGGCUAACUACGUGCCAGCAGCCGCGGUAAUACGUAGGGAGCAAGCGUUAUCCGGAAUUAUUGGGCGUAAAGCGUGCGUAGGCGGUUCAUUAAGUCAAAUCUGAAAGCCCACAGCUUAACUGUGGAGGGCGAUUUGAAACUGGCGAACUUGAGUACGGCAGAGGUUAGUGGAAUUCAAUGUGUAGCGGUGGAAUGCGUAGAUAUAUUGAGGAACACCAGUGGCGAAGGCGGCUAACUGGACCGGAACUGACGCUGAGGCACGAAAGCGUGGGGAGCAAACAGGAUUAGAUACCCCCGUAGUC